GCGCGAGUGGUGGAAUGGCAGACACGCCAGCCUUAGGAGCUGGUGCCGCAAGGCGUGGGGGUUCAACUCCCCCCUCGCGCA
rnacentral:tRNA from 1 species